rnacentral:rRNA from 1 species
UUGGAGGGCAAGUCUGGUGCCAGCAGCCGCGGUAAUUCCGGCUCCAAUAGCGUAUAUUAAAGUUGUUGCAGUUAAAAAGCUCGUAGUUGAAUUUCGGGGUCAGUAGGUUGGUCAUGCCACUGGUAUGUACUGGUCUCACUGAUUCCUCCUUCCUGAUGAACUGUAAUGCCAUAAUUUGGCGUUGCAGGGAAUCUGGACUGUUACUUUGAAAAAUUAGAGUGUUUAAAGCAGGCUAACGCCUGAAUACAUUAGCAUGGAAUAAUGAAAUAGGACGUUCGAUCCUAUUUUGUUGGUUUCUAGGAUUGACGUAAUGAUUAAUAGGGAUAGUUGGGGGCAUUAGUAUUCAAUUGUCAGAGGUGAGAUUCUUGGAUUUAUUGAAGACUAACUACUGCGAAAGCAUUUGCCAAGGAUGUUUUCAUUAAUCAAGAACGAAAGUUAGGGGAUCGAAGACGAUCAGAUACCGUCGUAGUCUUAACCAUAAACUAUGCCGACUAGGGAUCGGAUGAUGUUAAUUUUUUAAUGACUUAUUCGGCGCCUUACGGGAAACCAAAGUGUUUGGGUUC